rnacentral:lncRNA from 1 species
CACACACACACACACACACACCACACACACACACACACACACACACACACAAUCUUUCAGUCAAUAAAUGAGCAAAUAAACUGAAUAAAAAGUUCAGAGAAGAAGAAAUAUAAAUGGCCAGUAAGCACUAUAAAAAGCAUUCAAAAUGUUUACCCAUCAAAGAAAUACAAAUUAAAAUUGUUUGGAGAUACCAUUUCACCCCAUUCAGAAUGACUGUCAAAAACAAAAAGCAAAAGCACCAAAACAACAACAAGAAAAAAAUCAAGGUCAGGUGUUGUGGCACUUAGAGGGAAAGAGAGAGGUAGACAGAUUUCUCUGAGUACAAGCCUAGCCUGCAUUGCUUAAUGAGUUCUGGGCUAGCCAGUGAGACAUUGUCUUUAAAAUGACAAAAAAAAUAAAAAAAACAAAACAAAACAAAACAAAACAGUAGGCCAGGCACAGUAUCACCCACCUUUAAUCCCAGCAUGAGGGGGGCAGUG